UGGGAAUGUAAGAGCAUGGAGAUCGUUUAAGGACCAUCUAGCAGGAAAAGAAAGCUUCCUGAAGGAAUCGGUAAGGGAAUGGAAUCGGUAAGGGAAUGGAAUUGCUAACUAAUCGAUUAAAGGUUAUGCACCAGUGUCUCUCACUGUUGGAAGAAAGUCAUGUCGAUUCCUGAGAACUUCAUAAAGAACUUUUGAAUCACUUUUCUGGCCUUGAAGAUGAAAUAUAUCGGUUAAGCAGCCUGGGUGAGAUUGACUAAGCCAGUCUCAAUUCCAAAGACGGGAAAACCCAGCACUAUGCCCGUGGGUCGGUGAUUUAUGGUUCAGUCCCUGCCAUCGUUCUGUUGCAGAAGGAACCGAAUGCCAGUUUGCAUAGUGGAACCACACUUGUCAUUGGUCGUUACCUAAUGAACCAUAUUGGUUCGUGCUCGGUGGUGAGGCCGAGAAGUAGUCUGCCUCACAGCCUUUCUUUAGUGCCAAGGUACUAAAGUUAAUUAAAGACGAGUUGACUGUAGCGAAGUCUUAGAGAAAGUAGAAACAAAUAAUCUGAUUUGUCGAACGUGAUGCAUUGCUAGUGAACAGAAAUUGAGGCGUCAAUAUAGUAUAAUGCUUUCCAACCUGAAAAUGUCAGCGGAGCUCACGAAGAUUAUUUUUCGAAGGAGGUACUUUCAGUGGACCCUAUAAGUACAGGGGGGCUAGCUUGAAAACACUGUCAUUUAAGAUUUUCAUCAUUUUCCUAAAGAAAGUUCUGAACAAAAUCACGCGCCGCGUCGCUGCUAAGCAACUGUAUGGCAUAGAAUACGAAGUCCGUGUGAUCAAUGGCUUCACAAACAACUCCUCACUUCCUCUGGUGAUAUGGUGCGCGUCCAAAGACAGUGAUAUCGGCGGGCGUGCGCUCCAAGAGCAUGAUGAUUUCAGUUGGCCCGUCAGGACCAACUUCUGGAUUACUACAACCUCUCAAUUCUCAUGCACUGUCAAGCUUGACCGUACAAGGAAGAGUUUUGACGCAUUCAAGGUACCAAGAGAUAUAUAUCGCUGUAGUGCCCUCAGGAAAUGCUCUUGGUUGGUUUUGGAAGAUGGGUUUUAUUUCAGUGACGACGAAGUAAACUGGAAGAAGGAUUUCUCGUGGUGAAGCACCAGACCAGCUAAGUUCACUCUACUCUGUUCUACUUCUCUACUAGUUUUACUUUUACUGUCAUGAUCUUGGCCUUUCCAAAGCUAGAUUCUAUAAUGUAGUUCAGGAAAGGAAGGCUAUUUUGCGUCAUGAAUAUGAGUAUAGCGAAGGAAUUUGAAUUCCCCGGUUAUCUUAGGGCAGUAUU